CAGGGGGCAUAAACAUAACAUCAUCCUACACUUGGAUGGGUAGGCCCUCCACAAUCCGGAUACCCCGGUUCGUGGCACCCAGUGAAGGUCGGAUUCGGGAAAAAUGGAGGUAGUGGUGCAUUGCCAUCUUCGGAUUUAUUCUGAAGUGUAGUCCGAAAAUGGAGAAGGAGCGAUCGGUUGAUUUUUUUUAUUCUCCAUGUUUAUCGGAAUUAACGACACUAAACGACUGGGAUCAAUUGUUUUAAUUUUGCUGCACUGAGAAGUUUACAAACUACUGCUCGGCGAGAAAACUUGUGCUUUCAGAGAAGGAGGCCCAGGUGCUGCGGUUCCAACCGGAACAUACUGUACACCGGAAAUAAAUAUCAAUAAACCAGCUUGGUAGCGGAGAUUCACUUAAGGAAUCUUUGCAUCAGCUGAGAUGCGCUAGAAUACUCGGUUUCCUUCAAAUAGACGAAAAUGUUCCGUUUCCGCGAUGCGAAUGCCAAUUCGAAUUCGUUCUUUUUCUUCUCCGUCGGAAGGGAGGUUUCCCUGUUAUCUCUAUCGAAAGCAUUUAUUUCGAGAAGGCCAAUGAAUCAACAUCUACGUUGGCAUCCAUCCACCCAAUUUUCUGAACGUGAAAAGGAACGUUAAAAGAUAUUGGAUUUCUGUUGAGAUAAGCGGUUCUAUUUAAAAUAAGAGUCUAGUUUUAAGUUAUUGUCAUUUCGAAAUUCUGUCACGAAAUCCAAUA